AAAGGAUCAACCCCUAAACCUAACACACAAAUCACACGCCCACUUCUUCAAACCACACGCCCCACCCCCUUUUUCAUCUCUUCUCCCACUUGUUAUCCAUUUCACUCAAGAUCCUAUCAAUUUUCCAAGAGAUUGUUGAAGAACCAAGGUUUUAAUUGCUUCCUACCGAUUAUUUCGUCCAAGAAAAGGUGAAAUUUUGUGCGAGACGCGUGAUACCAAAGGAAAAGCGAAACUUGAAAACUAAAGGAUCGAGGUUGAGCGGCGACGGGCGGUUGGCGGUGUUGAGCAGGAACUAAUAAUGAACUGUGGUUGUUUUGGUUUUGAAAUUCCGAGUGUCGUUGUGUCUUCACACAUGACGUCACUCUUCUCUUGGAUGCUUCCGCUGUGAUAUUUUUCUUAGAAUACUUUUCAUUUAAAUUCUGAAACUAUUUUAUGAUGGGAUGUUUGAAACUCGUUACACUUUUUGAAUAAAUGCUAAACCCUAGUCUUUAUUCAUUAAA